rnacentral:rRNA from 1 species
UACGAAGGGUGCAAGCGUUACUCGGAAUUACUGGGCGUAAAGCGUGCGUAGGUGGCGCGUUAAGUCGGAUGUGAAAGCCCCGGGCUCAACCUGGGAAUGGCAUCCGAUACUGGCGGGCUAGAGUUCGAUAGAGGGUCGUGGAAUUCCCGGUGUAGCGGUGAAAUGCGUAGAGAUCGGGAGGAACAUCAGUGGCGAAGGCGGCGACCUGGAUCAGAACUGACACUGAGGCACGAAAGCGUGGGGAGCAAACAGG